rnacentral:lncRNA from 1 species
CUAAUCAGCGAGAGUUCGUCCGAGGUCAAAGAGCUGGGAAUGGUGUCUGGUACAAAGAUCGGAUGAGGUUCGAUCCUAAGUGCGGAUUCAUCUACAGUACCAGGAUUUUGGGGGGCUGGAGCCAAUGAACUCCUAGAAUUGCUAGAGGAGAAAGUGUUGGAGGACAUUUUGAAUCAAAUAAAAAUCUUGAAAAAAUUAGAAAAAAAUAGGAAACAAGGUGUUCAUGAAGAAAUUGAACGGGCAGAAUGCGGAGGAAGAAAAAUGAAAGAACAGCAAGAAAAAGAAGGGUUCUGGAACUAACCUAGGUUGGUUCGAGAGGUGC